UGGUUGAGUGUUACAGCUGCAGCUGCUGGAGAGGCAGCUAUUGUAGCUGCUGCAGAGGAAGAUGUGGAGAAUAGCAGCCAAAAUAGAAUUGGUAAUACAGGAAUGGGCAAUAUGAAGAGGAUUAAGAAAAGGCCAAGCUGGAUGAAGAUUAUGUGAUAUAGAGAUGAAGGGAAGGCGAAGGGAAGAGUUAGCUUGUUAAAGAAUUAGUUAGCAGAUUAAAUAAUUUGUUACAGCAGUGGAGGGAAAGUAGUUAUAGCAGUUAGGAAGUUCUUGAUUCUAAUAUGACUGUAUAUAAAUACACCAUUGUAACCCUAAUGAGGAUAUGAAAAUUCAGAUUGAAACUUUUC
rnacentral:lncRNA from 1 species